rnacentral:rRNA from 1 species
UGGGGAAUAUUGGACAAUGGGCGCAAGCCUGAUCCAGCCAUGCCGCGUGCGGGAAGAAGGCCUUCGGGUUGUAAACCGCUUUUGUCAGGGAAGAAACGCUCUGGGCUAAUACCCUGGGGUAAUGACGGUACCUGAAGAAUAAGCACCGGCUAACUACGUGCCAGCAGCCGCGGUAAUACGUAGGGUGCAAGCGUUAAUCGGAAUUACUGGGCGUAAAGCGUGCGCAGGCGGUUAUGCAAGACAGAUGUGAAAUCCCCGGGCUCAACCUGGGAACUGCAUUUGUGACUGUAUAGCUAGAGUACGGUAGAGGGGGAUGGAAUUCCGCGUGUAGCAGUGAAAUGCGUAGAUAUGCGGAGGAACACCGAUGGCGAAGGCAAUCCCCUGGACCUGUACUGACGCUCAUGCACGAAAGCGUGGGGAGCAAACAGGAUUAGAUACCCAAGUAGUCCCUGAGCGGGCUGGCAAGGCGCAU